AAAUGUAAAAGAAACUCAACAUUGUCACUGUCAAAAAUGUCCCAGUAAUUUGACUACACAAGUGAAGUUCGCAACACCACCCCUUCAUGGCAAAACCUAUGUUUUUGAGCAAUUAUUACUGUGGAUAAAUGAUUUGGCAUUUACGACGAAGCUGCUUUCUUGCAGCAAUUUUCAAGCCAAUCCAUUGUAACACUUUUUGGCCUCUCAAGUGGCAACCCAAGAGCUCGGUCCCAUAUUAGCUGAGAGCAAAUACCAAUACUUCUUGAUACACCAAAAAGAACAGUGAAAUACCUGGCUUCAGUUAAACCAUAA
rnacentral:misc_RNA from 1 species